UACGUAGGGCGCAAGCGUUGUCCGGAAUUAUUGGGCGUAAAGAGCUCGUAGGCGGUUUGUCGCGUCUGUCGUGAAAGCUUGGGGCUUAACCCCAAGUCUGCGGUGGAUACGGGCAGACUAGAGGCAGGUAGGGGAGAACGGAAUUCCCGGUGUAGCGGUGAAAUGCGCAGAUAUCGGGAGGAACACCGGUGGCGAAGGCGGUUCUCUGGGCCGGUACUGACGCUGAGGAGCGAAAGCGUGGGGAGCGAACAGG
rnacentral:rRNA from 1 species